rnacentral:rRNA from 1 species
AUGAACGCUAGCGGCAGGCUUAACACCUGCAAGUCGAGGGGCAGCAUAAUGGAUAGCAAUAUCUAUGGUGGCGACCGGCGCACGGGUGCGUAACGCGUAUGCAACCUACCUUUAACAGGGGGAUAACACUGAGAAAUUGGUACUAAUACCCCAUAAUAUCAUAGAAGGCAUCUUUUAUGGUUGAAAAUUCCGAUGGUUAGAGAUGGGCAUGCGUUGUAUUAGCUAGUUGGUGGGGUAACGGCUCACCAAGGCGACGAUACAUAGGGGGACUGAGAGGUUAACCCCCCACACUGGUACUGAGACACGGACCAGACUCCUACGGGAGGCAGCAGUGAGGAAUAUUGGUCAAUGGACGCAAGUCUGAACCAGCCAUGCCGCGUGCAGGAUGACGGCGCUAUGAGUUGUAAACUGCUUUUGUACGAGGGUAAACGCAGAUACGUGUAUCUGUCUGAAAGUAUCGUACGAAUAAGGAUCGGCUAACUCCGUG